UCGUUGUUAGUGUUCCAGCUUCUGGUGGUAAAGCUGAGUGACCUGGAUGACCGGAGGAGAGCUGCUGAGCGACGGCCCACACCAACAGGCAGAGGAUCGCACCGGUUGGACCUCACACCUGCCGCUGGAGAGAGGGAGGUCACAGCAGAGGAAAUACAUUCAGUGUUUGACUCAUUCACCUCCACUUAAAUCACUGUACCCCAGGUGACAUAAAGCCAGAAAAACUGAGAGGAUCCAAUAGGAAAUGUACAGUAGAGAGAGUAGGAGAGAUGCUAAUGUAGCCCAACGUGUGAGCUUCCUUGUGGGAGGAGACAGAUACUGCACGACAUGUUGUUAACACCAGCAAGUUACAGUUAAAGUACAGGCCCACUGAAAAGACAGCAGAAAGAAUCCCUCCCAUCUCGCACUUUAUGGCAGAUAAUGGAGAAAAGUAUCAGGACCUUUUACUACUGGUCUACAUCCUCAAAUAUAACCUGCAGACAUCAUAUGUUGUAUACAGUACCAGGAAUCCACACUCUAAUUUAUGACUAGACCCAAAUCUAGGUCUUCAUUACUAUAAGCUCCAAGACAAAACAUUCUGAGAUGUUGUUAUAAAACAUCAGAGAUAUCAAAUGUCCAUUUGUUGAAUAAAUUACUACCAGGAAUCCUUUAAGAUUUAGUGCUAUGAUUAGUUUACAGACUUUCAAACACAUAUGUAUUGCUUUGCCUGGCUGAUUUAACAAUGGGAUUUUCCUUGUGUGUCAACACAAUUUGUUAACAGAUGGGGAGAGGAUGAAGGAAGACCUGAAACGCAACAACCUACAAUGCCCGCAGAUCUCGACAGGCAUGUCCUGAUCAGCCUCUGCAGCAGACGACUCCACAUCUGCAUCUGCACUGCUUUCACUACCCUGAGCUGACAGACCACACGGAGACUCUGGGCUUACAGACUCACCACUGGCACAGACAGACACACACAAACAGAUGGUUCUUACUGAUUACAUUUAAUGCUAUUUAAGCAAUGAGAACUUUAGUGUUGUUAUUUUCUCAAUUGCAGUCUUCUGGUGGGAACCAGCUGUAUUACAUCAACAGGAUGGCCUGCUCCCUCUCCUCUAGCCUCCUCUUCAGGGAGUCGAUCUCCUUCUGCUUCUCUAGCAGCUCCUUCUGGAGACGAUAGUUGCUCUCCUCCAGAGUCUCACAGAACGCCUGGAGGCAGGCGACAGCAGAGAAAAGAAAAACAAAGACCAUUUGUUUCCAGCGGAAACGAAGGGUUGAGGGAAAAUAUAACGGGCCACACAGGAGAAGACAGGGAUAACAUUUCUGAGCAAGAACAAACAUAAUCAACAAGCAAACCUACAGGCAGGCUGUACAUUCAUCCCAAGGCAUAUUUAAAUCUAUAAUUGUUUACAGGUUUUAAAUGUCUGCCUGAAAAAAAUGUCCACAUUAAGUAGGCUUAUUUUAUGACUGCAGCUAUAGGGAGCAAACUUGUGACAUGUUUGUUUUUUUAAUUGCCUGUAAUGAGAGUGAGUUCCUGCCCUUGUCACCACAUGCCAUCAAACUACUUCAUAUCCCUGUAAAAUGUGGGACGGUAUCAUUUAUAAAUGUUUAAAUACAGUGUCCAUAUGAUACCUGAGGUUUGGUAGUGACUUAAAAAUUAUACUUUAUUUUGCUGAGUAUAAGCACUAAGCACUCAGAAAAACACAACAAAAAAACCUACAGGUCCAGUAAUGCAGCAGCUUUUAUUUUUCACACAAUUUCACCUUUCUAUUUUCCAGGUUAAAUGUAUUUUCCUUUUAAAUGUCUGUGAUAUCUGCUAAAUCAGCUAAAUGCAUGUAUCUUUUCUGUGUAUAUUGUGUAUAUUUAUCUGUAUGUUUCUGUGUUGCAGUGGCUGUGAAAACUAAAAGCAGCAACAGACUUACUAGAUAUCCUUAAGCUGAUGAUACACAGAGCAACUUUUAGAGCAAUCAUGCAGGGCAACGUUGCUGUCAAUGGUAAUGAGUAAAGAUUACCGCUGUAAUCCCCUUCCCCACCACUCCGCCACCCGCACCGCCCCUAUCCGUUCAAAACAUAGUUUGACUUGCCACUAGCAAGAUUGCCCAGCAACAUUGCUCAAAAAGUUGCCCCGUGUAUCAUCAGCUUUAGUGUCUAUGGACAUUUGUGUAAACUUCAGAUAUUUGAAAAUGUUUUUAUACUCCCAGCUAUGCAAAACAUAAUUGGUUUAUCAAAACUACUAUAUGACUGUUCAUUACCAAACCCUAUUAAAAUGACAAGCAUGCUCUUUAAAA